AACUUGCGUUCAAAGACUCGAUGAUUCGCGGAAUUCUGCAAUUCACACUACGUAUCGCAUUUCGCUGCGUUCUUCAUCGUUGCAGGAGCCAAGAUAUCCGUUGCUGAGAGUUGUGUUCUUUUAUAUAUUUGUUAAACCUGGUUCCGUUCCUCCCUCGUCUUCUUUUCUCUCUUCUUCUCUUCUCUAUUAUAUAGAAGAAUAUGAGGAGAAGAAGAGAGAGAGAGAGGAGAAGGGGAAGGAAGGCGAUUCGGGACUCAGUCAUAUUUGUAAGUGAUUCUUGCGCAUGCAUGGCGGGUUUUCCUUGAUCAUCCGAUUCGGUUCCUCCAAGUCCCAUCCAGAGCCCCAACCUGCCAGGUUUGGAUUUUUCCAUACCCCCGGAGGGAAAGAAAAAUCUGGGGAUGGAUGAAAAAUGGUCGAUGAAUGGAUGAGAGUGACGGACGAUGUGGGGUCGCUAGACAGUACC
rnacentral:rRNA from 1 species